UACGAAGGGUCCAAGCGUUAUCCGGAUUUAUUGGGUUUAAAGGGUGCGCAGGCGGGACCUCAAGUCAGUGGUGAAAUCCCGUAGCUCAACUACGAAACUGCCAUUGAUACUGAGGUUCUUGAAUGUAGUUGACGUUAGUGGAAUGUGUCAUGUAGCGGUGAAAUGCUUAGAUAUGACACAGAACACCGAUCGCGAAGGCAGCUAACGAAGCUAUUAUUGACGCUCAGGCACGACAGCAUGGGGAGCAAACAGG
rnacentral:rRNA from 1 species